UGAUCUGUUGUUCUCUUCCCUCUGCCCCCUAUUGGUAGAUUAGUGUAAAAAAAAAAACCUUCACCCACAACUGUGUAUCAAGUUGUUGGCUUUAUAACUAAGAGUCAGACGAGCACAAUGGGUUUUACAAAACGGACUGAUUUGUUGCGCAGCAACGCACCUGGUGCCAUUUCGUACAGAGAGAUCUGCGAUUACACGGGUAAGUGUGCAUGUUUAUAACGGUUAGCUGUGGGUUAGCCGAGAGUUUAGCUAACUAGCAUGCAGUUCGCUCCUACUAGAAUUUCCCCCUUUCAUCUGUACUAAUAGUAUCAACUUUGACCUCUUCCAUAUGUGAUUCAUCUCAUCCUAACACGUGUAAUGUUAUGGAGCAUCCUUGCGCCCCGCCCAAGAGUUGACUAGUCUUCUCCCCAACACUGAAGCUACCAGACAAGGAAAGGUCAUUGCKUUGGACACCUGAACCAGUUCCUCACUGCAGUACCCAAUCUUCAUCUUCAGUACCCUAGGUGAGCUGUAAUCUCUUACUUCUUGAGCAGUUUACCGAAACCAUUGGCAUAGUUGAUAACGUUAAAACACUGUGGCUUUCUCUUCUCUCCUCUGCACUGAUCUGAGAUCACAGGAUAGGUGAAAGGCAGCUGUCUACCAGCUAUUUACUUUCACCUGUCCAGUUAAUUCAAGCGAGUGCAGAUGAAGACCGUAGCCCAGAUGAAGAGGGAGUCACUUUAGGCUAUUGGGAUGUGUUUCUAUUCUGUGUCAACUAACUCUUGAGUUGGGGGCCCUGUUUCCAACCCAUGUUCCCAUCUUCUCGCCCUAGUCRCGUGACAGGCAUGUUCUUUCACACGCUAACCAUCUUGGGGCAUGACAUCAAGCCAGUGUUUGUGUUCGAUGGGAAGCCUCCAGAGGAGAAAAGGGCUGUGUUGGUUGAGUGGCACUCUUAGAAUUACAGCYGAAACCAUAGCUACCUACCUCACAAAAUGGCACCCUCACAAGUAGUGCAAUACAGUACUUAUGGUAUAAUUUCCCGACACAUCCCAUAAAAUCCCUGUUUCGUUCCAGCUGGAGAAGAGCGCACAGGCUGCAGGCUAGAGCUCCCCCAGUCRUUCAGGAACAGUGUGUCCUCAGACAUGUGAGCUCCUGAAGCUUAUGGGUGUGUCCAUCAUCCAGGUCAGUGUGCCAAUCCUCUAUGUAGCAUGCUAACCCUGAACACACCCAGUUGACUUGAACACACACUAACCACCGCACAAUGACAUGUCUCCCAGCCCCCUCUAUAUCACUCUCUCUCUCAC